rnacentral:rRNA from 1 species
GUAAUAGCUCACUGGUCGAGUCGGCCUGCGCGGAAGAUGUAACGGGGCUAAACCAUGCACCGAAGCUGCGGCAGCGACGCUUAUGCGUUGUUGGGUAGGGGAGCGUUCUGUAAGCCUGUGAAGGUGUACUGUGAGGUAUGCUGGAGGUAUCAGAAGUGCGAAUGCUGACAUAAGUAACGAUAAAGCGGGUGAAAAGCCCGCUCGCCGGAAGACCAAGGGUUCCUGUCCAACGUUAAUCGGGGCAGGGUGAGUCGACCCCUAAGG